UGAACGCUGGCGGCGUGCUUAACACAUGCCCGUCGAACGGAAAGGCUCCUGCUUGCAGGGGUACUCGAGUGGCGAACGGGUGAGUAACACGUGGGUGAUCUGCCCUGCACUUCGGGAUAAGCCUGGGAAACUGGGUCUAAUACCGGAUAGGACGAUGGUUUGGAUGCCAUUGUGGAAAGUUUUUCGGUGUGGGAUGAGCUCGCGGCCUAUCAGCUUGUUGGUGGGGUAAUGGCCUACCAAGGCGUCGACGGGUAGCCGGCCUGAGAGGGUGUACGGCCACAUUGGGACUGAGAUACGGCCCAGACUCCUACGGGAGGCAGCAGUGGGGAAUAUUGCACAAUGGGCGCAAGCCUGAUGCAGCGACGCCGCGUGGGGGAUGACGGCCUUCGGGUUGUAAACUCCUUUCGCUAGGGACGAAGCGCAAGUGACGGUACCUGGAGAAGAAGCACCGGCUAACUACGUG
rnacentral:rRNA from 1 species